AUAAUUCCUUAUAUAUCAUCGCUACAUCGUGUAGAAACAGUAAAUAAAACAGAUACCUCUUGUCAAAGACGUGGUGAGUUGGGAAGGGGGAGCACGAUGUCCUAGGUGCCACCUUCAGCCUAUAUUUCUAUGUUAAAAUGUUCAUGGAAAAUGUAGGAAAGGGGGGGGGGGCGCCAAUAAAGUACCUUGCCCCUGGCGCACGUUGUGCUCACCACACCUCUGCCCUGCGACUCUUGUAGAUCUAGACAUAAUACAUCAUCAUUGUAAACACUAAACACUGAUUUAGUCUAUACAAAACCAAACCCAUACAUUUUUGUUUAGUUUUAGCGAUACUUGGUUGGGGGGGGGGGGGGGGGGGGGGGAAGCCGCUUUUAGUAUCUGUGUGUGUUUUUCCCGUUUAGAUCGCUAAAACUAGACAAUAAGCACUAAUUUAAAAAAAAAUUGAAAACAUCAUCUCUUGUGGCUUGUACCAUGGUAGAUUACUCGACUUCAGGCAACGGUUUCCUCAACUGGCUUUCUGAAAACUAGGUUACCCCCUCCUUUUUAAAUUUUAAUGAAAUAUCGAUACUUUUUUUUAAAGAGAUCUAUGCAUACAGCGUGUUAAUAAAUUAUAUUUUUGUCUUCAAAGUUGUGAAAAAAAAACUAAUACACAAAUGACCUAAUAGGUCCAUAGAGUAGGAGAUUAGUGUUUUAGUUUAAUGGAGUCUACGUAGGCUGCUUCUGAAUAGCGGCGGAUAAGGUUUGGACUGAUUUGACUAUACUAUACCGCUAUCGUGGGUGCAGACCAUGCAAUUUGUUGUCCAAAAUUGAUGGCAAUUUUAAAAAAUGAAACUGUCCCUAUCUUAUAUAUGCACAAUU